CUGGAAUUCAAGAGAGUUGAUGUUAAUGGAAGACCACCACCUUCAACAGACGAUGGAACAUUAUAUAGCCAAUAUCCAGAUGCCGUUAAGCAUAUUCAUAUUGUGACAAGACCACUGGUCCUGCGCCUAUGGAUCAUGAUGGAAAAAUCAAGCAGCUGCUACAGAUAAAAUGAGCAUCACCAGCAGAUAUUAAAACUGUCACCUGAUGGAAACUGGGGCUCAACAUUAGGCCUUCAAGCAAUAACCAGCAGUAUAAUUUUGUAACUCAUAUAUCAAUUAACUUUAUAUUACUGUCACACAUGA